rnacentral:rRNA from 1 species
UACGUAGGGUCCGAGCGUUUGUCCGGAAUUAUUGGGCGUAAAGAGCUCGUAGGCGGUCUGUCGCGUCGGCUGUGAAAACACGGGGCUCAACUCCGUGCCUGCAGUCGAUACGGGCAGACUAGAGUUCGGUAGGGGAGACUGGAAUUCCUGGUGUAGCGGUGAAAUGCGCAGAUAUCGGGAGGAACACCUGUGGCGAAGGCGGACUUUCUGGGCCUUACCUGACGCUGAGACGCGAAAGCGU